CUUUAUUUUUUAAUCCAUAAAUAUUUGUAACUGACAAAAGUGGAAAAAAUUCCUUAAGACUCUAAAUCGUCACUAACCCCAUUUUUUUCUGUUACAGUACGUACAGAAUGUGCUUAUACAGGAACAGUUAUUAGAACAACAAGAAUAAUAUCAGGAACAACAGUCAUAUACAUUAAUAAGCUUGGCGCUUAUCAAAGGGGCGGCUCUAUGUGCAUCGAAGCAAUCAUCUGGCCAAUCCCAUCCAUGGAAAUCUAGAAUCACAAUAUUGCAAUUAAACCUAGGAUGCAAAACACAAACCUGAAGGGAAUUUGAAAUAUCAGUGUACAUCCUCAGUUAACUGUCUGAUUACCAAAGAUAUAAAAAACCCAUGGCUCAUUCCUGUGGCGAGCAAAGAAUGAAAAGGUUUCUUUGGCCAACGUAAGUAAUAAAGCACUAAAAAAAUAUCGCUGGUCAUACAGACAAUUCUACUCUGCCUGUUGGAAUAAAUCAUCGCAAAUUAAUUACAAAUAUAUUCCCUGGCCUAUUCUUUAUUUUUCAUUAUAGAAACCUGAUAUUACUGUCUAGCCUGUCUGCUCUCCCUUCUUCAGGUAUGUGUCAGGUAGUGACAAAAGGACUGGUAUUUGGUCAUUGAGUUGUCAGGCCAACCUCAAAUGAUUAGAAUGGCUACAGACCUUCUAUAAAAUUGGGAGAAAGGCCAAUAUGAAUAAAUCAAGACAGACAUGCUUAAUUCUUAAUUACAGCACUUAUCUGACGUUUUUGUUCCAGUAUUUUUUUUUUCAUGUUUUAUAGUUUUUUUUUAAGAAACCCAGCCAAUAUAGCACUGCCAUGAAAGCAUGGUCAAAUAUUUGCUACAAAGCAUGUAGAGAAUACAAUAUCCUGCCCAUCUGAACCUACCCCCCACCCCCAAGGCUAUGAAGAGGCUUUUUCGAUAACAGACCCCUCUGACACCUUAAAAGAUUAUUGUUAACCCAAAACAAUAUUUAAACUUACAAAUAUUCAGUGAUUUCCUUCCCAGCUCAGUAAUCAUCAUAAUAAACAGGGAGUCUAUAAACUGGGGAUC